UACAGAGGGUGCAAGCGUUAAUCGAAAUUACUGGGCGUAAAGCGCAUGCAGGUGGUUUAAUAAGUUUGAUGUGAAAGCCCUGGGCUUAACCUGGGAAUGGCGUUGAAGACUGUUAGACUCGAGUCGAAGAGAGGGUUGUGGAAUUUCCGGUGUAGCGGUGAAAUGCGUAGAGAUCGGAAAGAACACCAGUGGCGAAGGCGGCAACCUGGCUUCAGACUGACACUGAGGUGCGAAAGCGUGGGGAGCAAACAGG
rnacentral:rRNA from 1 species